UGACGACUUUUUCCCCUAUUGCCUUGAGGCCUGGCACUAGGAUUUUAAGUCAUCAUAAAUUGGUAUUUGAUUCUCUUCACUCAGAGGACAUGUGAUAAUGGGAUUAUCUGUUCUAUGUCAUUUGCAGAAUCAAACACUU
ensembl:snoRNA